CGAGGAUUCCCCUAGUAACUGCGAGUGAAGCGGGAAAAGCUCAAAUUUAAAAUCUGGCGGUCUUUGGCCGUCCGAGUUGUAGUCUGGAGAAGCGUCUUCCGCGUUGGACCGUGUACAAGUCUCUUGGAACAGAGCGUCAUAGAGGGUGAGAAUCCCGUCUUUGACACGGACUACCAAUGCUUUGUGAUGCGCUCUCAAAGAGUCGCGUUGUUUGGGAAUGCAGCGCAAAAUGGGAGGUGAAUUCCUUCUAAAGCUAAAUAUUGGCGAGAGACCGAUAGCGAACAAGUACCGUGAGGGAAAGAUGAAAAGCACUUUGGAAAGAGAGUUAAACAGUACGUGAAAUUGCUAAAAGGGAAACGCUUGAAGUCAGUCGCGUCGUCCGGAACUCAGCUUUGCUUCGGCUUAGUGCACUUUCCGGUUGACGGGCCAGCAUCGAUUUUGACCGCUGGAAAAGGGCUGGAGGAAUGUGGCACCUUCGGGUGUGUUAUAGCCUUCAGUCGCAUACAGCGGUUGGGAUCGAGGAACGCAGCGCGCCUUAUGGCUGGGGUUCGCCCACAUUCGCGCUUAGGAUGCUGGCAUAAUGGCUUUAAACGACCCGUCUUGAAACACGGACCAAGGAGUCUAACAUGCCUGCGAGUGUUUGGGUGGAAAACCCGAGCGCGUAAUGAAAGUGAAAGUUGAGACCUCUGUCGUGGAGGGCAUCGACGCCCGGACCUGACGUUUUCUGAAGGAUCCGCGGUAGAGCAUGUAUGUUGGGACCCGAAAGAUGGUGAACUAUGCCUGAAUAGGGUGAAGCCAGAGGAAACUCUGGUGGAGGCUCGUAGCGAUUCUGACGUGCAAAUCGAUCGUCAAAUUUGGGUAUAGGGGCGAAAGACUAAUAGAACCAUCUAGUAGCUGGUUCCUGCCGA
rnacentral:rRNA from 1 species